rnacentral:rRNA from 1 species
CACGUAGGGCGCAAGCGUUUAUCCGGAUUUAUUGGGUUUAAAGGGUGCGUAGGUGGCCUGUUAAGUCAGGGGUGAAAGACGGUAGCUUAACUAUCGCAGUGCCCUUGAUACUGAUGGGCUUGAAUGAACUAGAGGUAGGCGGAAUGUGACAAGUAGCGGUGAAAUGCAUAGAUAUGUCACAGAACACCAAUUGCGAAGGCAGCUUACUAUGGUUUUAUUGACACUGAGGCACGAAAGCGUGGGGAUCAAACAGG